AUUGAACGCUGGCGGCAGGCCUAACACAUGCAAGUCGAACGGUAACAGAAAGCAGCUUGCUGCUUUGCUGACGAGUGGCGGACGGGUGAGUAAUGUCUGGGAAACUGCCUGAUGGAGGGGGAUAACUACUGGAAACGGUAGCUAAUACCGCAUAACGUCGCAAGACCAAAGAGGGGGACCUUCGGGCCUCUUGCCAUCGGAUGUGCCCAGAUGGGAUUAGCUAGUAGGUGGGGUAACGGCUCACCUAGGCGACGAUCCCUAGCUGGUCUGAGAGGAUGACCAGCCACACUGGAACUGAGACACGGUCCAGACUCCUACGGGAGGCAGCAGUGGGGAAUAUUGCACAAUGGGCGCAAGCCUGAUGCAGCCAUGCCGCGUGUAUGAAGAAGGCCUUCGGGUUGUAAAGUACUUUCAGCGGGGAGGAAGAGAGUAAAGUUAAUACCUUUGCUCAUUGACGUUACCCGCAGAAGAAGCACCGGCUAACUCCGUG
rnacentral:rRNA from 1 species